GCCCCGGUAGCUCAGCUGGAUAGAGCAACGGACUUCUAAUCCGUAGGUCGCAGGUUCGAAUCCUGCCCGGGGCGCCA
rnacentral:tRNA from 1 species